rnacentral:rRNA from 1 species
GUGAGGAAUAUUGCGCAAUGGAGGCAACUCUGACGCAGCCAUGUCGCGUGCAGGAAGAAGGCGCUACGCGUUGUAAACUGCUUUUAACCGGGAAGAAACCCCAGGACGUGUCCUGGGUUGACGGUACCGGAGGAAUAAGCACCGGCUAACUUCGUGCCAGCAGCCGCGGUAAUACGAAGGGUGCAAGCGUUAUCCGGAUUCAUUGGGUUUAAAGGGUGCGUAGGCGGAGCGUUAAGUCAGUGGGGAAAUCCUGCAGCUUAACUGUAGACUUGCCAUUGAUACUGGCGCUCUUGAGUGCGCUUGAAGUGGGCGGAAUGUGCCGUGUAGCGGUGAAAUGCUUAGAUAUGGCACAGAACACCAAUUGCGAAGGCAGCUCACUAAGGCGAUACUGACGCUGAGGCACGAAAGCGUGGGGAUCGAACAGGAUUAGAAACCCGGGUAGUCC